GAAUCUGCCAGAAGGCUCUGCGGUUAGAAAGUAUUUUAUUUGAAGGGUGAAUAGAAACAAGAAGUUAACGCAAUGACCAAGCCUGCAUGAACAUCCCUUCGAUAGCUCAGCUGGUAGAGCGGAGGACUGUAG
rnacentral:tRNA from 1 species